CACGUAGGGGGCAAGCGUUGUCCGGAUUUAUUGGGCGUAAAGAGCUCGUAGGCGGCUUGGUAAGUCAGGUGUGAAAACUCCGAGCUCAACUCGGAGACGCCAUCUGAUACUGCCAUGGCUAGAGUCCGGUAGGGGAGCGCAGAAUUCCUGGUGUAGCGGUGAAAUGCACAGAUAUCAGGAGGAAUACCGAUGGCGAAGGCAGCGCUCUGGGCCGGUACUGACGCUGAGGAGCGAAAGCGUGGGUAGCAAACAGG
rnacentral:rRNA from 1 species